rnacentral:rRNA from 1 species
AGCAGCCGCGGUAAUUCCAGCUCCAAUAGCGUAUAUUAAAGUUGUUGCAGUUAAAAAGCUCGUAGUUGAAUUUCGGGAUCAAGUCGUCGGUCGUGCUCAGGUACGUACUGGCGUCAUUGAUUUCUCCCUUCUGACGAACCAUGAUGUCAUUAACUUGGUGUCAUGGGAAAUCAGGACUGUUACUUUGAAAAAAUUAGAGUGUUUAAAGCAGGCUCACGCUUGAAUACAUUAGCAUGGAAUAAUGAAAUAGGACGUUCGAUCCUAUUUUGUUGGUUUUAGGAUCAACGUAAUGAUUAAUAGGGAUAGUUGGGGGCAUUAGUAUUCAAUUGUCAGAGGUGAAAUUCUUGGAUUUAUUGAAGACUAACUACUGCGAAAGCAUUUGCCAAGGAUGUUUUCAUUAAUCAAGAACGAAAGUUAGGGGAUCGAAGACGAUCAGAUACCGUCGUAGUC